CGUAGGGUGCGAGCGUUAAUCGGAAUUACUGGGCGUAAAGUGUGCGCAGGCGGCGUCGCAAGUCGAGUGUGAAAGCCCCGGGCUUAACUUGGGAAUUGCGCUCGAAACUACGAUGCUGGAGUGUGGCAGAGGAAGGUGGAAUUCCACGUGUAGCGGUGAAAUGCGUAGAGAUGUGGAGGAACACCAAUGGCGAAGGCAGCCUUCUGGGCCAACACUGACGCUCAUGCACGAAAGCGUGGGGAGCAAACAGGAUUAGAUACCCUGGUAGUCCACGCCCUAAACGAUGAUGACUAGUUGUUGGAGGAGUUAAAUCCUUUAGUAACGCAGCUAACGCGCGAAGUCAUCCGCCUGGGGAGUACGGUCGCAAGAUUA
rnacentral:rRNA from 1 species